CCAGUCCUCCUAGGUGUUGCAAACUUAAUCAAGGAACCCUUUAACCUCCUCUCUCCUUCCUCAAAGUGUCGUCUGAAAAACAAACUCUGCAGCUUUGAUUGGCUAGCUGGGAGAGAAGAGCGUUGCUCUGAGUUUAAACGGAAUGUAUCACUUCGAAUUAGCAGUUGUUUUUUAAGGACCACUGAAGCUUGGGCUUAAUUUGGGGGCUAUUGCUCAGCUAAUCUCACCGUGAGCGACAGUUCUAAGCAAUGACAGCAGAAUUUCAUCGGUAGUUUUGCUUUGCCAGUUUGGAAGGAUUUUCAUUCAAAUGAAAGGCCUUGGCUGCUGCCUCUGGGAAUGCUGCCUUCUUGCUUAUUGAUAAGCCGUACGAACUUAUCAUACAUUGCAUUCGCCUUUCAUCUGCGUUCUGCACUCCAGCAUUAGCUGCAGAGUUGUGGAAGAGGGUCCUGAGAGCCAUUUGCGAGGUCAGGGCUCUUGGUUGCUUUCUGGCAACCCCUUGUUAUAAUUCUGCCCCCAAUCCAGAGGUCAGAGUUGGGGUGUUUCCCCUGCCCCCAGUGGGUCACUCCCUCUUUGAAAGCACCCUGCCAGAGACCGCUCAUAACAGUAUCUCUGACAGCCACAUUUUGCCUUUUAGGAAUGAGCCAGGUCUCACCAAGACGUGACCUGGGAGAGGAGGGACACCUCUGGGCCUCCCACUUCAAAUGGCACAACGUGAACAGCACCCAGUGCUCUCAGGAUGUAUGUCAGGAGCCAGUUGUCGGCAUUUCUUAUCACUCUGUUGCUGUAAUGGCUCCCAGUGGUUCAUAGCUGUUCACCCGAGCAAGGCUAACCACGUGGCAGUCCCCCCUGUGCAGUGCUAGUGGAGCUGGCAAGCACAGGUGUGCAGGUAGCCUUCCCACCUCUUCCUCGCCGGGCCCCAGUCAUGGCAGCGGUGGCCUUUCUGCGGUAGUUUCUGCUGGCCUGGGAACAAGUUUUCUGAGGCCCUGUACAGCUCAUUGGGCGCGGUUUCCUGCCAGCUUCCACUUGCUUGUGAUUGCUGUGUGUUCUAGCACGCCAGUUUCAGAGCAGGUCUCCUAGCAGCCAUGGUGCCAUCUGGCCUCAGAGAGAUGUCUGGACACUUGCGAGUAUCUAGGGUGACAAGGAGAUCCCAUCACAGCUGAACUCUGUAAUUCAGAGUGCCCUGGACUGUGAGUGGGUGUCCAGAUGGCUUGCCAGCAGGGUAGCCCUCACUUGGGUGCACAGUGUGGGGAGAUGGACGCACCUGAAGGUCCAGUACAGCAAAGUGUGGAAGAAUAACAGCUGCUCUGGGGCAGAGGAAACCUGCCCCUUUCGUGCAAGACUGUAUUUUCUGCACUCGCCCGCCUGUGAAACCUGACGCACUGGUGGACAGCGCCAGGCAGGGCGGGGUGACAGCGCUGGCGUGGGCAAGUCCAGGAUAUGCCUAGGCUCCCCAGGACUCUUCAGUGAAUCGUAGGCUGCAGAGACCGCGGCAGAAGGUUCAGGAAGAGAGGCCUGCCCUUUGCACGAGGGACCACUGCUGAGUCGCUGAGCAGGUGAGGGAUCAGGUGUCUGAGCACAUCAGGGGGCUAAACGCCUCACCAGUCCUUGGGGGAAAUGGAGAACAAAAGGAUCUGUCCCUGGAGCUGCAGGGGGAUGUGCAAAGGGGACUCUGCUCGUAUGUGCAGCUUCCAGGCAGAAGAAGCCAAGUGGGGAGAAGAGCACUCUGACGUAAUACGCCCCUCAUGGCAGAGAAAGGAGGAGGCAGGAGCAAGCAUUCCAGAGGGAAUGAAUGCCUGAGAAAGCACAUUCAAAGACACAGCCCAUUAGUGCCAUUAUCCCAUUAACAGGCCCUUGCAUCUGCCCUGUACAUACCACCUCCUCGUAUAGUGCUGCAGUACAGGAUGGUGGCAACUCAUUUUGGUCUGUGCCAUACUGGUCUGUUCCUUCCUGUGCAUUCCCAUGGCAUUCUAUCCCUGCCAACGAGCUGGACAGGGCGACUCAGGCUCCCAGGGACAUGCGUUCGUACCCCUAUCGUCCGCAGAAGUGCCUGGUGUGUAGUAUUGUGGUUUUGAUCUAGUUUGUUGUUGCUGCUGAGCUUCCACUUUUGUGUGCUUAAUAAACAUGGUUUGCUCCAUU